UACGGGGGGGGCAAGCGUUGUUCGGAAUUACUGGGCGUAAAGGGUUUGUAGGUGGCCCGCUAAGUCACACGUGAAAUCCCUCAGCUUAACUGGGGAACUGCGUGUGAGACUGGCAGGCUCGAGGGCAGGAGAGGAACGCGGAAUUCCAGGUGUAGCGGUGAAAUGCGUAGAUAUCUGGAGGAACACCGGGUGGCGAAGGCGGCGUUCUGGACUGUCUCUGACACUGAAGAACGAAAGCCAGGGGAGCAAACGGGGAUUAG
rnacentral:rRNA from 1 species